rnacentral:lncRNA from 1 species
CAACCCCCCAGCCCAUAUGGAAAUAGGCUGGCUGUAGCCCCCAGCAUGGGGGUGGGGGGGAUUUAUGGACAUAACUUGAGUGUAAUAAAAAAGUACAUACAAUUGGAACUUUAACAACAAGUGAACCAUGUACCAUCUUGGGGACCAUCCCUGAGAUGUGCUGCUGCCAUCCUUACUUCAAACACCUGAGUUAGGCACAAGUUAGCAUGGGAAAGUGGUUUUAGUUUGCUUUUAGUUCAAAGUCCAGCUACAACACCAUGAAAUGUUAUGAUGCAAAUGAUGAUUUGAUUCUGUGUCUGCAGUAAUUUCAGGUACAGGCCAAAUUAGAACAACAUUCAGAAGACUUUGUACAUAAUGAGGAUAUGAUCAAGACCAUCUACACUGAAAUGAAAGGAAUCUCGGAAUCUUGGAAACAUGUCAGUACCACCAUAUACAAGUAGAACAACAAUGGUCCAGAAGAGUUUUUGCAAUAGUUACCCUUAAAUACAGUUUUUCAGCUGUUCGGGUUUAUCAGAAUAUGCAGCCUAUCUCAGAGAGGGAUGAAAUUUUGAAUUAGUUAAUGCUCUUAGACAGAAAAUAAAAGAAACAAGACAAAAUAAUACAGUAGAAAAAAAAUAGUUAAAAAUAUAUUGUCAAUAUAAACUUAGGUCUGAUUGAUACAUAACAUAUGCACAUGCAGGUAGCUAUAUAGAUGAAAGACAAGUAAAUUCAUUUGGAUCUAAUCCUGAUGUAUCUGAUUUUGGCAGGAGAAAACUGGAUUUUUCCAGUGUCUCAUGUACUACAGUUUCCAGUUGUCUCAGUUUUGACAUGUUUCCUGCUACUUACAACUUGAGUUUAAUUGGGCUACACUGUAGCUUGAAUAGGCAAGAAAAGACAAAAAAAAAUUUGCUGCCUAUUUGCACAGCAUUAUAG